rnacentral:rRNA from 1 species
CUUAAAUUGAAGAGUUUGAUCAUGGCUCAGAUUGAACGCUGGCGGCAGGCCUAACACAUGCAAGUCGAGCGGUAGCACAGGAGAGCUUGCUCUCUGGGUGACGAGCGGCGGACGGGUGAGUAAUGUCUGGGAAACUGCCUGAUGGAGRGGGAUAACUACUGGAAACGGUAGCUAAUACCGCAUAACCUCGCAAGAGCAAAGAGGGGGACCUUCGGGCCUCUCGCCAUCAGAUGUGCCCAGAUGGGAUUAGCUAGUAGGUGAGGUAAUGGCUCACCUAGGCGACGAUCCCUAGCUGGUCUGAGAGGAUGACCAGCCACACUGGAACUGAGACACGGUCCAGACUCCUACGGGAGGCAGCAGUGGGGAAUAUUGCACAAUGGGCGCAAGCCUGAUGCAGCCAUGCCGCGUGUGUGAAGAAGGCCUUCGGGUUGUAAAGCACUUUCAGCGGGGAGGAAGGCGAUAAGGUUAAUAACCUUGUCGAUUGACGUUACCCGCAGAAGAAGCACCGGCUAACUCCGUGCCAGCAGCCGCGGUAAUACGGAGGGUGCAAGCGUUAAUCGGAAUGACUGGGCGUAAAGCGCACGCAGGCGGUCUGUUAAGUUGGAUGUGAAAUCCCCGGGCUUAACCUGGGAACUGCAUUCAAAACUGACAGGCUAGAGUCUUGUAGAGGGGGGUAGAAUUCCAGGUGUAGCGGUGAAAUGCGUAGAGAUCUGGAGGAAUACCGGUGGCGAAGGCGGCCCCCUGGACAAAGACUGACGCUCAGGUGCGAAAGCGUGGGGAGCAAACAGGAUUAGAUACCCUGGUAGUCCACGCUGUAAACGAUGUCGACUUGGAGGUUGUGCCCUUGAGGCGUGGCUUCCGGAGCUAACGCGUUAAGUCGACCGCCUGGGGAGUACGGCCGCAAGGUUAAAACUCAAAUGAAUUGACGGGGGCCCGCACAAGCGGUGGAGCAUGUGGUUUAAUUCGAUGCAACGCGAAGAACCUUACCUACUCUUGACAUCCAGAGAAUUUGCUAGAGAUAGCUUAGUGCCUUCGGGAACUCUGAGACAGGUGCUGCAUGGCUGUCGUCAGCUCGUGUUGUGAAAUGUUGGGUUAAGUCCCGCAACGAGCGCAACCCUUAUCCUUUGUUGCCAGCGAUUCGGUCGGGAACUCAAAGGAGACUGCCGGUGAUAAACCGGAGGAAGGUGGGGAUGACGUCAAGUCAUCAUGGCCCUUACGAGUAGGGCUACACACGUGCUACAAUGGCGUAUACAAAGAGAAGCGACCUCGCGAGAGUAAGCGGACCUCAUAAAGUACGUCGUAGUCCGGAUUGGAGUCUGCAACUCGACUCCAUGAAGUCGGAAUCGCUAGUAAUCGUAGAUCAGAAUGCUACGGUGAAUACGUUCCCGGGCCUUGUACACACCGCCCGUCACACCAUGGGAGUGGGUUGCAAAAGAAGUAGGUAGCUUAACCUUCGGGAGGGCGCUUACCACUUUGUGAUUCAUGACUGGGGUGAAGUCGUAACAAGGUAACCGUAGGGGAACCUGCGGUUGGAUCACCUCCUUACCAAAAAGA